rnacentral:miRNA from 1 species
CUAGGGUUUCUAGUUCAGUGGGUCUAGUGUGAGGCCCAAGAAUUUGCAUUUUUAGCAAGUUCCCAGGUGAUGUUAAU